GGAGAGAGAGAGAGAGAAUCUAAAACCACAAGAUUGGUCACGUUUAAUAGAUCGCUUCAAAGUACCUAGAAUUCUUAUAGAUAGUAAGUUGGAUCAGAAAAAUAUGUGCUGUCCGUUCAUAUGGGUUAGGGUUCACUCUCAAUCAAUUAAACAGAAAGACCUAUUGUUAAAUAGUGUUAACAUUUGCACGAAAAGCCCUUGAGGUCAACAAGCCACAAGAAAAUGAAACUUGUAUUUAUGAUUGUCUGCUCAAACCAAGAAGUAACAGACAUCCACCAAAUCUAAACUGAACUCAUAAAUUAGAGUAUAAGGCAUAGCAUAUGAAAAUGAAAAGAAAAGAAGAAAGUGAAAGUAUUCUACUUUACAAUUGCAACUACUUUGGUAGAACUAGUGCCAUUUUUAGGGCUCAGGGCCCAAUUUCAAAAGUAUUUUGUACCAAGCAACAUCAAGUUUGCCCAAAACUUUUAACACUGUUUGAGGCCUCUGGAGAGAGAGAGAGAGAGAG
rnacentral:misc_RNA from 1 species